UACGUAGGUGGCAAGCGUUGUCCGGAAUUAUUGGGCGUAAAGAGCGCGCAGGCGGUCGUCCAAGUCGCGUGUGAAAGCCCCCGGCUCAACUGGGGAGGGUCACGCGAUACUGGUCGACUCGAAGGCAGGAGAGGGUAGUGGAAUUCCCGGUGUAGUGGUGAAAUGCGUAGAUAUCGGGAGGAACACCAGUGGCGAAGGCGACUACCUGGCCUGUUCUUGACGCUGAGGCGCGAAAGCUAGGGGAGCAAACGGG
rnacentral:rRNA from 1 species